GCAGUGGUUGCCUACAUACUUAUUGUUCCAAUUCAAAAUGACGACAGUGACCUUUAAAGCCCUGAAUUCUUUGGGAACAAAUUUCUGAAGGUCAGAUCUUAGCCCUGUGAUACAUCUUCUCUUCACUGCAACAAAAUGAUAGCUGAACUUCUCUUCGAUAUUCACCUUUGGAUGGGAUUGCAGGUUCAGACCUGCGCUCAGAAGGGACCAGCAAUAUUGUUUUAAGGUUAUUGAUUUUAAAGAUGGCAAGGGAGAAAUUCGGGGUCAUUAUGCCGCAAGCCCCUGAGGUCUCCAGUAGAGGCUCAAUAGUGAGGCCUGGAUUGAGGGUCCGGAAGCAAGUGGUUAAGUUUAUAUUCAACUCUCUCCUCCAUUCUCAAGAACAAGUUGAUGGUUGUGUAAAGCGUAUUAUAAACAGGAAAACAAGAACAACAAAAAAGCUUGCAAGCUGCCAUCCUCCAGUUCCCACUGGUGGCCCCUUUGUCCCCCAAAUGCCACCGGAAGUGCUUCUGAAGAACCACCUUGACCUGAGGGGAGAAAAGGAGAGGCAGACACAUCUGUCUUCUUCAAGACAAGCAGUUGUCUUUCAUGUUUUAUGUGUACAUUUUGACUGUCACUGACUGUUGUAAUAAGUUUAAGUAAACUGCUUUGUGAGACCUGCCUGAAAAGUGGCAAAUAAAUACCUGAAAUAAAUAA